CCUACGGGAGGCAGCAGUGGGGAAUAUUGGACAAUGGGGGAAACCCUGAUGCAGCAACGCCGCGUGAGUGAUGACGGCCUUCGGGUUGUUAAGCCCUGUCUUCCGGGACGAAAAUGACGGUACGUGAGGAGGAAGCCACGGCAAACUACGUGACAGCAGCCGCGGUAAAACGUCGGUGGCGAGCGUUGUCCAGAUUUACGGGGCGUAAAGGGAGCGUAGGCGGACCUUUAAGGGAGAUGGGAAAUACUCGGGCUCAACUUGAGUGCUGCAUUUCAAACUGUAAGUCUAGAGUGCAGGAGAGGAGAAUGGAAUUCGUGGUGUAGCGGUGAAAUGCGUAGAGAUUAGGAAGAACCCCAGUGGCGAAGGCGAUUCUCUGGACUGUAACUGACGCUGAGGCUCGAAAGCGUGGGGAGCAAACAGGAUUAGAUACCCGGGUAGUC
rnacentral:rRNA from 1 species